rnacentral:rRNA from 1 species
UACGGAGGGUGCAAGCGUUAAUCGGAAUUACUGGGCGUAAAGCGCGCGUAGGCGGUUUGAUAAGCGGAGUGUGAAAUCCCCGGGCUCAACCUGGGAACUGCAUUCCGAACUGUCGAGCUAGAGUAUGAGAGAGGGUGGCGGAAUUCCGAGUGUAGCGGUGAAAUGCGUAGAUAUUCGGAGGAACACCAGUGGCGAAGGCGGCCACCUGGAUCAAUACUGACGCUGAGGCGCGAAAGCGUGGGUAGCAAACAGG